AGAGCGAACGCUGGCGGCAGGCCUAACACAUGCAAGUCGAACGGACUCUUCGGAGUUAGUGGCGGACGGGUGAGUAACACGUGGGAACGUGCCUUUAGGUUCGGAAUAGCUCCUGGAAACGGGUGGUAAUACCGAAUGUGCCCUUCGGGGGAAAGAUUUAUCGCCUUUAGAGCGGCCCGCGUCUGAUUAGCUUGUUGGUGAGGUAAUGGCUCACCAAGGCUACGAUCAGUAGCUGGUCUGAGAGGAUGACCAGCCACAGUUGGGACUGAGACACGGACCCAAACUCCGUACGGGAGCAGCAGGUGGGAAUCUUGCGCAAGUGGGACGAAAGCCUAGACCGCAGCCGACGCCGCGUGUAUGAUGGAAGGUCCUUAGGUAUUAGUAAACUUCUUACGACGGUAGAAGAUAA
rnacentral:rRNA from 1 species